rnacentral:rRNA from 1 species
AUGGCUGUGCACAAGGAUGUCCGCACCCCGAGCCGAGCUCUGUUUGACCGGAGGACAAGCAGAGGAAAGGCGAACAGGGGUGAUGACAUGGCUCCUGAGCAAGAGCUGAAAAGCAAGAAACGUAAAGCCACCUCUGAAGAUAAGUUCACCAUGCCUCCCAGAGUGUCACCCCGCUUCGUUGAACUUAAUGGAAUAAGAUCAGAUCAGAGUAACGAAGAACUAUCAUUUGGGUACCAAGUUCCACUUCAGGCCAGGAAAAUUUCUUAUAACUUCAAAACGGCAAGGGAUGCACCAUUGUCUUCAGGUCUGUGUUCGGCCUUCAAUGAUUUCGGUGCAGCAUGUCUAGACCAUCAACGGCAAUUUGAGCUCCUUAGUGAAGUAGGGGCUGGGCGCCGCCGUGAGGAUGCUAUCACCCAUGCACGCAGUGAUGGCAUGGUGGCCGAAGAAGGCCGUCUUCUGGGGAGCCGCGCGCUGGCCGCCAUCUCCACCCGCGGCCACACCAACAAGACAGUAAUAUGCAGAGAAGGUAAUCCUUUAAGCUCCAAGGAAAUAGCUGAAUGUCACUACCAAAUUAAAUUACCUUUGUACAGAAAAUACGUGGAGUUAUGUGAUCUGCAAAUCCUUUUAUCACUCAUUAAAAUUUUGCAAGUUCUUGCCAUACCCGAAGCUUCCAUUAUCGCUGACUUCGCCGGAAUGCCUGCACCCAUGUUCCAGGUGCCAAUAAUGAAUCCUGUGUUUAGUUGCACCAAUACAAGGUGUGGAGAGUUUGGGUUCGGAAGGUCUGCAGGAGGUGCCUUUGAGAACUUGAUCAGCUACUCGAGCUUCAUUGUCAGCGAAGUCUCCACUGGGUUGCCCAGAUCUGUCCUGAAUUGCUUCAUUGAUGACAAUUUGGAGAAGGCUCCGCUGACACUUACAAAGGAUGUUUUCCUUUGUUGGAAAGACGAGGAUACGCUGGAGAUAGACAUGGGGUGCCUAUGCUGGUUUGCCUACAAUAAUUAUCAGAAGUGGUGGUUGUGCGGUGGAGGUGGGGCUUCGUCCUUCAGGCAAAUUGUGCAACAUGGAUCUGGUCUGAUCCAGACAGAUCUGGCGCUGGCAGCCCGUCCGGCGGCGAGGGCUGAGGCCAACAGGGGCCGUGUGCGGCCGGCGCUGGCAUGGAUCGGGUGGUCUGGGUACAAGGUGGCGGCCCUGGUAGUGGGAGGCGCGUUGAUCUUGGGCGGAUUUGCGCGGCUCAGGAGCGGGAGAGCAGGUAAGGCUGCUCGGGCGGCAUGGAUGCGGGUGGUUGGCGGAGCGGGGAUGAUGGCGGCUAUCAGUGGUCCUGCCCUUCUUGGAGGCACCAUUUUGGAGUCCCCGCUCCGGCGUUGGCUGCCUCACCUCUCCUUGGUGGAUCACUCAUGUGGUGGUCCGUCGGCUAGAAGCGGUUCUUCUUUGCUCAUUCGUAGUGUGCUUGGUAGUCGCUGGGGUGGUUUGUUGGCACCUUUGUAUCUUGCUUUGGCUAUUGAUCCAGGGACUAGCACAAUGAGCACAGAGACAUUGAAUCUUAUCAGGUUUGGGUCAUUACAUCUCUUCAUCACAAAUGUUUUAGAUAGAACACCGGUUUACAUGAAGAGGGAGAAUGCCGACAGCUGGAAUUCUGGACUAGAAAGGAGCAAAUCUGAGAUACAUAUUCUGCACAACUCCAAAUAUCCUGAAACUUUUUGA